UACGAAGGGUGCAAACGUUGCUCGGAAUUAUUGGGCGUAAAGAGCUCGUAGGCGGUUCGUCGCGUCGGCUGUGAAAACCCGGAGCUCAACUCCGGGCCUGCAGUCGAUACGGGCGGACUUGAGUGUUGCAGGGGAGACUGGAAUUCCUGGUGUAGCGGUGAAAUGCGCAGAUAUCAGGAGGAACACCGGUGGCGAAGGCGGGUCUCUGGGCCUUACCUGACGCUGAGGAGCGAAAGCGUGGGUAGCGAACAGG
rnacentral:rRNA from 1 species